CCUACGGGUGGCUGCAGUGGGGAAUCUUCGGCAAUGGGCGGAAGUCUGAACCAGCCAUGCCGCGUGCAGGAAGACAGCUCUAUGGGUUGUAAACUUCUUUUGUAAAAGGGUAAACCUGAAUACGUGUAUUCUGCUGAAAGUCCUUUACGAAUAAGGAUCGGCUAACUCCGUUCCAGCAGCCGCGGUAAUACGGAGGAUCCAAGCGUUAUCCGGAUUUAUUGGGUUUAAAGGGUGCGUAGGCGGAUGGAUAAGUUAGUGGUGAAAUGUCCGAGCUUAACUCGGGAACUGCCUCUAAUACUGUUGAUCUUGAGAGCAGAUGAGGUAGGCGGAAUGUAUGGUGUAGCGGUGAAAUGCUUAGAGAUCAGACAGAACACCGAUGGCGAAGGCAGCUUACCAAUCUAUAUCUGACGUUGAGGCACGAAAGCGUGGGGAGCAAACAGGAUUAGAUACCCUAGUAGUC
rnacentral:rRNA from 1 species